rnacentral:rRNA from 1 species
AGCGAACGCUGGCGGCAGGCUUAACACAUGCAAGUCGAACGCCCCGCAAGGGGAGUGGCAGACGGGUGAGUAACACGUGGGAACGUACCCUUUGGUUCGGAAUAACUUGGGGAAACUCAAGCUAAUACCGGAUAAGCCCUUAUGGGGAAAGGUUUACUGCCGAAGGAUCGGCCCGCGUCUGAUUAGCUAGUUGGUGAGGUAAUGGCUCACCAAGGCGACGAUCAGUAGCUGGUCUGCGAGGAUGAUCAGCCACACUGGGACUGAGAAACGGCCCAGACUCCAACGGGAGGCAGCAGGGGGGAAUGUUGGACAAUGGGGUCAGCCCUGAUCCAGCCAUGCCGCGUGAGUGAUGAAGGCCUUAGGGUUGUAAAGCUCUUUUACCCGGGACGAUAAUGACUGUACCGGGAGAAUAAGCCCCGGCUAACUUCGUGCCAGCCGCCGCAGUAA